rnacentral:rRNA from 1 species
CCCUUAGAUGUCCGGGGCCGCACGCGCGCUACACUGAAGGAAUCAGCGUGGCUUUCUCCCUGACCCGAAAGGGUUGGGAAACCCGUUGAAUCUCCUUCGUGAUAGGGAUUGGGGCUUGAAAUUGUUCCCCAUGAACGAGGAAUUCCCAGUAAGCGCGAGUCAUAAGCUCGCGUUGAUUACGUCCCUGCCCUUUGUACACACCGCCAGUCGCUACUACCGAUUGAACGGUUUAGUGAGGGCCUCGGAUUGGUCUCGGCCCGCUCUUUACCGGGCGGCGCCGUUGGUCGAGAAGACGCUCGAACUUGAUCGUUUAGAGGAAGUAAAAGUCGUAACA